CCGUAUUGCAUUAGGAUCAACAGAGUCAAGGUUGGUGCUUCCCUCCAUGGGAUGAGAAAUCUCAAAGUGGAAAGAGGAGAGCAGACGUGCUGGGCGCAUGGCAGCAUGGUGCACAUACACAGGCAAGGGAGAAUUCACAAGGUUGGAGGGAAGCUCACACCAGCAAAUGCCUUCAUGGCUGGGGGGAAGGCACCCAUGUGACGUGGGACUGAGAGGAGCCCAGCAGCAUCAGGAGGAGGCACAGCAGCAGAAGCAACUUAGCAUGUAGGUUUUUGAAAUUUUAGGAUGAAGGCUUGAUACGUGGCAACAAGAGUCAAGAAACAAGGUCCGUGGCGAGGUCCGUGGAAACAAGGAAAGCUGGAUGCAAGAACGAGGUCCGUGAAACAAGGCUUGGAACUUGGUCCUGGAGGCAAGGGACUGGAGUAGCGUAGUCCACACACAAUCUCACUCCACAAGGUGACGAAUUGACUCCGCAAGGAUUUCUUUGCGGGUAAACACCUAUAUAGGAUCUUGUUUUCCUGCCAAGGAACACUUUCCCUGGGAAACAAGAAACAAAACCCAUACUGUGUCCAGAUGCAUGACUCCUUAAAAUUUCCCAAGGGAAACAGGCUUAAUCAGCUAAUUGUCUGGCAGCAAUCCUGGCGCUUCUGCGAAUCGCCUCCUUAGCGCCUCUAUCUCGAUUAUAAUAAUCCCGGCGAGAAAAUGGGGGAGAUUUCUGCUCAAGGCUUGUUUGGCUGACUUCUUGUGGGCAAACAUCUUGCAGGUGCAAGGGCUCCAAUUCUGGCUGAAACGGUGGGAAACCCAAGUCUUCCUCUUCAUCUGCUACAAUAGUACUAGGAACGGGACUACAUGGCCCAUGAGUCAUCACACUAGCUGAUUUUCUUCUGAAAUUCUUUGAUGUGCUCCAUUAUUAAACUCAUGUUUGCAAUAUGAGCCUUAAUUCCUCUUCCUUUUCUGAACCAAACAUGGACUUCUGGUAUUAUUCAAAAAUGUUGAAAGUUUUUGUUAUAGAAUUUUAAGUAUCAUUUUAUUUGCAUUAGAAGUUAAUGCAGUGGUCUUAUGGUGGCUAGUGCGAUCUCUCCUUUCCUCUUUCUCAGGGACUGCAAUCCAUACUGAGUGUUUCCAAUUCUUUUGUUUUCUACAUUUGUUGGCAGAUUUUAGCUUUUUAUCACAAACUUUUUUGUAUAUAGGCAAAGGUCUGUGUAUACAGAAUAAAACAAACAAAAUUUAAAAGAAAGUACUGGAACUAUAAGACAUAACUUGAAAACAUUUUUAUAACCUCCUGUAAAACAAACAAAUAAAAAAGAAUACAAAUAAUAUGUAGGCUACAAUAUAUCCCUUAAUGAAACAAAUAUGAAAAAUAUCUACAUAUUAGCUAACAAUUCUACUCCUAAUUUCUAAGGUGUACAGUUCUUUUAUAACUGAAUUGUAUGUGACACAACUAUUUCUCUAGUGGUAGAAUAAAAGAGGACAGAACAAAUAAUGAAUUACCUCAUCAAU
ensembl:lncRNA